rnacentral:tRNA from 1 species
GCCCCUGUCGUCUAGUGGCUAGGACGCCACUCUCUCAAGGUGGAAACAUGAGUUCGAUUCUCAUCAGGGGCA